CCCCCCUGGUUUUGGCAGUGUUUUAGUUAAAAACAUAAUAUUUUCUCGUAUUUUGCUGGGUAUUUUUACAACUUGGAAGGAAUUAAAGUGCCGUUUUGCUCCGCUUGCUGAUGUAACCAUUUAUUUUACAUAAAGGACGAGUAAUUCUUUUCACAGGUAAGAUUCAUGGGACGGACAGUACGAAAUUAUAAAAAUAUUUUGUCAAAAUUCAACACUCGUUCACUCAACUUCACUGACUUCAUUCUUCAUGUCAAAUGAACGGCAAAUAUUUUAAUAUUGGACGUCAAAGUCA